rnacentral:rRNA from 1 species
CAGUAGCCGCGGGAAUACGUAGGGUGCGAGCGUUAAUCGGAAUUACUGGGCGUAAAGCGUGCGCAGGCGGUUAUACAAGACAGAUGUGAAAUCCCCGGGCUCAACCCGGGACCUGCAUUUGUGACUGUAUAGCUAGAGUACGGUAGAGGGGGAUGGAAUUCCGCGUGUAGCAGUGGAAUGCGUAGAUAUGCGGAGGAACACCGAUGGCGAAGGCAAUCCCCUGGACCUGUACUGACGCUCAUGCACAAAAGCGUGGGGAGCAAACAGGAUUAGAUACCCCAGUAGUCCCUGUCUCUUAUAU